rnacentral:lncRNA from 1 species
AGCUUGGGUAGUGCAGAUAUCGAUGUGGAUAUUUAACAACUAGUUACGGAUACAUGUUACAUGCUGUUUCUGCGUUUUUCAUGUUCGCAUAUCAACACGUGGCUGCUAUUCCCAGCGCAGAAGGCAAGUGUUAUGAUUAUAUUUAUUCAUCAGGCGUUUCGUUGCACCAAGAGAAGUGAAUUCAUUAUGGAUUGCAGAAUACUCGUCAUCUUUGGAGCGAUGUGUGUCAUGAUGGCGGUAUUUUGUGAUGCUAAUACGGUCUUGUCAAUGUUUAGGGGCAAAGGUGCAACUAUGCAACAUCCCUGGUGCGAGCUCUUGAUCGCGUAAGUGUUGCUAGUGCCCUCCACCCCUAAAUGUUGGCAAGACCUAAUUGGCGCACAACAUUGGGACCGACGCUGGAUCAGCAGAAGUCAAAAGACACAAUUGUGAGAACGGAAGUUUGAAGUUGUAAAGCUGAAAAUUUUAGUUGACGUGGCCGAGGAGAUAGCGGACAUGGCUUGUUAACUUUCAUUUGUAGUUGAGGUGAAUGAGACUGCACCAAGUUUUCCGCAUGUACUAUGCAUGCCUAUUGGCUUCUUGGUAUCUUGAUGAUUUUAGUCCACGAGCUAUGUGAACAUUACUGCCUCGUUUCUACGCAACGUUUUCAGUUUUGUCCUAUCUGCUAGUCCCUGAAGUUAGUGAGUUUUGGAAUUUUACUGACUACCAAUCCACACCCACUGUAAAUAGCUCUUUAGAAUAUUAAUUUGAUAUUUUCUUCUUGUCUAAUAUUCAUCUAGUUUUCGUCUUGGCUUUCAAGUUAACUUGUUUGUUCCUCCAUUAUUGAAAAUGCUCCACUAUGUUUUGCUUACUCUACUGAUUGAGGUCACUGAUUCAGCCUUUGGAAGGUAAUGUUACGAAACUAUAGUUUGGAGAGUCAAUCUGUCACGGAUAAGACGAACAAGUGUUCGUCAUUUGCAUGUGUAGCUCAAAUAUAAUCCACAAGUUGGCUUGUAAUAAUGGCUUAUCUUCAUUGGUUGUUAGGCCUGACAUAGGUAAACAAUUCUCAUGGCUAGUUUUGUGUCGAGAGUUCUCAUCUGCGGCACUCUUUUACUUGAUCCUUUUCAGUUUUCUUGUGUCGAAGGAAAAUCUCACCCAUCUCUUCAUUGUAUGCUCUAGAAUCUGAUUCCAGCCUCACCCGGUCCAAAUUCUCACUAGUUACAAAUUCUUUUGACAGGUACAUGAUUCCCUGCAUGUGCAAAUGUUUUCUCUCAUAUAUAUAUAUAUAUAUAUAUAUAUCCAAAUAUGCAUAUACUUAUGUGAUAGAAACUGAAGAUAUUCGAAAUCUUUGAAGAUUUGGUGCAGGGUUGAAAGGGAGAGUCUGUUUAUAUUGCACUCAAAAAAUGUUUCCUGUGAAACAUUGGAUAAUCAGUUUUGGCUUGUUUUCAUGAAUUUGUUUUAUUCAGAGGCCUCAUUGGAAUAAUUUUUUACUUCUAAGAUAUCCUUGAAGCAAUAAGAUUAAUUUCCUUCCAUAAUUGAUGAUAUCAAUUUUAACAUUCCAUAAUUGAUGAUAUCAAUUAUGGAAUGUUAAAAUUUUAAAUAUUUUGUUAAAGCAUAUAUUUGAUAAAAAUGUAUCAUGGACAUACAUGGAAAUUCUAGUAAAUAUUUAUAUGAUUAGGUAGGAAUAAAUAAAAGUAAAUAAAAGUAUUUCAUAAGAUCUUUUAGAGUAGCUUCCUAGAAGCUUCAUAGUUGCUGCUUGACUUUACAUGUGUUUGUAGUUGAUUGGUAGGUUAGAAACUUCAUCAACAAGUUAACCAUGUGUUGAUAGUUUGUGGAACAAGCUAAAUAUGUGGUGCAUACAUAAACAACUUGCCUUGUAAGUUAAGACAUGUGGCUAGCAAAGUUAACACAUGUUGGAGAUCCUAUAGAAUAUCGCCACAUAGUUCCUAGUUAGAGAGUAUAUAUAGAGGCAAGAGUAAAGUCUUUUUCACUCUUGUCAAUGCCUUUUUAGUCUUUAGUCUUGUUUCAAGAUUUUCUAGUCUUCUUGUUUUUGGCAGUAGCCAUUCUAGUUUAAUAUUACAUCAUUUUUUGAGUGACUUUUUAGUUUUCUUCAAUGAUACAAGAAUGUAUUGAUGACUUUCUUUCUUUGAGAUUCAUGUCUUUGAUAUAAUGUUAUAUUUAUUAAAAUAUGAUAUUAUAUUAUCUCAAAUUUUACAAUACAUACAAAUCUUAUAUUUCAAACACACAUUUUUACUCCUAUAAUUACUGUCAUUAAUUUCUCAA